rnacentral:rRNA from 1 species
UACGGAGGGUGCGAGCGUUAAUCGGAAUUACUGGGCGUAAAGCGUGCGCAGGCGGUUUUGUAAGUCUGACGUGAAAUCCCCGGGCUCAACCUGGGAAUUGCGUUGGAGACUGCAAGGCUAGAAUCUGGCAGAGGGGGGUAGAAUUCCACGUGUAGCAGUGAAAUGCGUAGAGAUGUGGAGGAACACCGAUGGCGAAGGCAGCCCCCUGGGUCAAGAUUGACGCUCAUGCACGAAAGCGUGGGGAGCAAACAGG